AGAGUUUGAUCAUGGCUCAGGAUGAACGCUAGCUACAGGCUUAACACAUGCAAGUCGAGGGGCAGCAUGUUGGUUGCUUGCAACCAACGAUGGCGACCGGCGCACGGGUGAGUAACGCGUAUCCAACCUACCCUUGUCCAUCGGAUAACCCGUCGAAAGGCGGCCUAACACGAUAUGCGGUUCACAGCAGGCAUCUAACGUGAACGAAAUGUGAAGGAGAAGGAUGGAGAUGCGUCUGAUUAGCUUGUUGGCGGGUAACGGCCACAAGGCUACGAUCAGUAGGGUUCUGAGAGGAAGGUCCCCCANAUUGGAACUGAGACACGGUCCAAACUCCUACGGGAGCA
rnacentral:rRNA from 1 species